UCUCAACCUCUGUGUUGGGAGAUCCACUGGCCUUUCUUAUCUAAUUUUUUCAGCCAUAAAAUGGCAUGUAACAUCUCUCUUGCAUGGUUUUAAGACUUUUAUUUAGAUAACUUAUGGGCAGUGAUCAACACAAUUAGCCAAUUGGUUAUGAUUAGACUUUGAUGUUACCCAUUGCCUUAAUUUUAAUAUUUUAAUGUUCCCAAGCAAAAGAAGAGUCAAUCCUGAGAGCAGAUCAGAAUAUAUUAGUGAAUAGAGAAAUAAAAACAAGAUCAAGGAGGGAUAGAUGAUGGGGGGUGGGAGAGAAUGACCCUACUAUGAGAGCAGAGCUCCAGGAAUGCUCAAUGACAAAGAAAGUACACAGCAAGGGAGACAUGGAGGAGAGGAAGGGAUGAAAAGAACUGAUGAGUGCCUGAGGAGCUGGCCAGAGACAUCAAGGUCGACCUAACUCUUGUUAUCCCCAAUGGAGAGAGCCUCAAGGUACUCUGACCCAUUAACAAAUGCCCCAAUAAACCUUCACACAGGAGGAAAAGAACAACAACUACCUUUCUCUAGGAACAGACUUCUUUUGUCAAUUUAGGUGUCAGUAUUAGAAAAAAGAAAUACAUUAAAAAGACGGUUGGUGUCGGUUCGGCUGCUGGGGUCAGAUUCCGCGGUCCCAGCCCCUCCCCAUGGCAGACGCUGAGGAGUUGCAGGUUUCUUUGCCGCCCCCGCCGCCUCUCUUUUCUCCCUCCUCUUCAGACGCCUCUGCAGCAUCUUCCCCGGGCGGCCCAGUGAGUUUGGGCUGGCCAGUUCCGAGCAGGAGCAGCGGCCGAACGGUGGACCCGCUGGAGGAAGUGGAGCUGCAGAUGGGAGAUGCAGCCUUUUCAUUAACCAAACUUCUUGAAGCCACAUCUGCAGUAUCAGCUCAAGUGGAAGAGCUUGCCUUCAAAUGUACAGAAAAUGCACGUUUCCUUAAAACGUGGCGAGACCUCUUGAAAGAAGUCUAUGAUUCUUUGAAACCUGAUGACUAAUUUGGCAUACUUCGUUAUUUAACAACGACUGCAAUCAUUCAUACGUCUUAUGUCAUAUUUGUACAUGUACCACACGUAUAGAAUGACCUCUGUCAAGCAGUUCUGUAUAUACUCAGAAUGAAAUUUUUCUUGGUUUUCUUGGCUUCUGUGAAAGCAGCAUACCGAUGCUGUUUUUGUUGCGGACUAGUACUAGUUUGUCCUUAAAUACUUUAUGCCUCUGAACUUUCACAGAAUCCUUUAUGAAAGUCAACUUCAUCAAUACAUGGUUAAUAUUAAUAGAGCCACAGUGCUACCAUUAGCAAACUAGGUAGACCAUUAUUUGUUUUGCAACAAGACGCUAAGCAUGGCAGAGUUUGAAGUUGCGUUUCAUCUUAAGUACCAUGGGAGGUAACUUUAAGGUUUCCAGUGGUGGAUCCAGCUCCAUUUGGCUAAGUUGUCUGCAGCUAAUGAUUGUGUCUUUAUUCUAUAUCCCCAGCACCUAAAACAGGUUCACACAACACUCACUAAAUGUUUGUUGAAUAAACGAGUUAACAAACAAAAUUAAAAGCUUUUUCUCUUCCUAUAUUUAGCAUGAAGACUGUCAUUGUUUCUUUAGAAAAUGUAUGAAUCUGAACUUUAUUGACUUGAAGAAAAACAUUCUUUUUUUAACAGAGAUUUGGACUUUGAUGAUAGGUUUUAAAAUAUAUGAUAAAUAUCUUUUGUACUUUUUUUUAAGACUUUACUUCAGAAAAGGAGACUGUCUAGAAAGAAUGCAUAUUUUUUCCUUAUUUAUUUCUGUGGUUACUGCUUCUGGAGUUUAACCGUGUUUGUAUCUGAUAUUUGUGUAUGUUUGAUGGCUAUUUUUAAGGUGCCUUGUCAGAUUUAUGGCUCUGUGCUAUUACUUUUUGAGCUUUGCAAGUUGCGUACAUAAUAAUUCUAAAGAAGUUAUUUUGUUUGCAAUGCAUCAAAUUUAAAUGAUGUGAUUUUUUUUGUAUUAUUUGACCUUAGUGACAGUGUUCUAUUUUGCAUCCUGUAUAUUAUGUUGCUUUUGGUAUUUUGUGCUGUGUGUCAACGAUUAAGCCAGCUAAUUCUCCACCAUAUGUAACUUCUGGACAUCUUUGAUACGACGUCUUAAUUCUUUGUAGAUAUGAAGAUAUGUACAGAACUAUAUUCUAACACCCAGCAAUGGGACUAUGAGAGGGGACAGAUGGAUGGGCAAAGAAUAGUUUUGUUUAACAUAUUAGUCAUAGUUCUUGAUUAGAUUUUUUAGUUAAAGAUCACACAUAGGGUGUGAUUUCUAUACCAAAGAUAUGCUUAUUUCAGUAUUAGAAAAAUAUUCUUACAUGUCCUGAAAAUUGCAAUUUUUUAAAUGUGUAAAACUAAAUUCUUAUUAAAAGCACAUUUUAUUUCCAUUUCUUUGGAUUCAUUACCUUAAAACUUUUUACUGACAUAUUUCAAAGAUACAGGAGAGGUAAAUGAGUUCAAGAAAAUUCAUGUAUUUCUACCAUGCAGAUGUAAUAAAUGUUAGGAUUUGGCUAUAUUUUCUUCAGACACACAUAUAUAUGUAAUUGCAAAUAUUAGAUACAUUUGAAGUUCGUUUUGUUACCUCUUUGUUCCUGUCCCUUUCCUCCCUCCCCAGAGUCCCCAGAGGUAACCACUAGAGGUGGCAUAUAUUCUAGCGUGUGUUUUUAUAUUUUAAUAUAAAUACAUUUUUUAAAACGCUAUAAAAUAUUGUUUUAUGUAUGUGGUAGCCAGCCUCCAGAUGGUCACCAGUGAUCCCUGGCCUCCUGGUGUUCAUUCCCCCCGUAGAGCCUUCUCCUGCAUUUUACAGUGCUGACUUUUGUAACUACCAGGAUAUUGAGCAAGUGCAGUGUGUGAUUUCUGAGGCCAUAUUUUUUACUCCUUUUUUUUUUUUUUUAAGAGACAAGAUCUCACUCUAUUGCUCAGGCUGAAGUGUGGUGGCAGGAUCACACCUCAUUGUAACCUUAAACCUGGACUCAAACGAUCCUCCCAUCUCGCCUCCUAAAGCACUGGGAUUACAGGCAUUUUUGCUCAUUUUUCCAUUUUGUUUUUUUACUUGUCAGUUGUUAGAUAUCACAUAUUUUGAAUACUAAUAAUCUGUUAUGUAUGUUUCAGUUAUCUUGUUUAGUCUGGUUUGUCUUCAUAUUUUGGUUAUGAAAUCUUGAAUUUUUAAAUUUUAAUGUAAUCUUACCAAUCUUUCAUAAUGAUUUGCUUUUUCUGGUUUUUGUAUAGGAAAUGUCAUAAAAAUAGUCUUGUUCAGCCUUCCAAAAGUUACGAAAUUUUUGUUUUUAACAUUUAGAUGCUUAGUCCAACUGAAAUUUGUUUUCGUUUAUGGCAUGAUUUUGGAAUCUUGUUUUAAUUAUUUUUGCACAUUUAUAGCUCUUCCUCCUAGUAUCAAUGUUUCAAGUGCAACAUCUGUCAUGCAGUUACUAUAUAAGGGCCAGAUUCUGACCUUUCUGUUCUUUUGAUCUGAAGGAAAUUUGAACAUGCCACCCCCAAAUACACCAAUUUGGCAUACUGAUUAUUUCAAGCUAAAGGUACUUGAGAAACAGUAGUUGCAGAAAUGGCUAUCUUAACUGUCCUUUCCUACCUGUAGCAAGCCAUACAGACUUCUUUGAGAAAGAUGCUUUCCUGAUACCAAGAUGAGAAGAGACUCUAAUCAACUGAGACAGUAUCAGAGAAAUCUACAAACAAAGCUUACUGUUAGUUUCUUGCCAUAUGUUUACCUUCCCACAGUUUCUGCCUCUGGAAGCCUAAAACUGCUUUCCUUUGUCUUGUCACACUUCUCUGAAAUGUAUUCUUUGUGGAAGAUGCUAUAUAAUAUAAUCCAGAGUUGUAAGCCACUACUUGUGUUUACCUUUUCAUUGAGUUUUCUCCUGUGUGAUGUACACUGCAUAUAUUAAUGAAAUUACUUGUUUUUUUCUUG